rnacentral:rRNA from 1 species
UACGGAGGGUGCAAGCGUUAAUCGGAAUUACUGGGCGUAAAGGGCGCGUAGGCGGUACGUUAGGUCUGCCGUGAAAUCCCCGGGCUCAACCUGGGAAUGGCGGUGGAAACCGGCGCACUAGAGUAUGGGAGAGGGUGAUGGAAUUCCAGGUGUAGCGGUGAAAUGCGUAGAGAUCUGGAGGAACAUCAGUGGCGAAGGAGGUCACCUGGCCCAAUAAUGACGUUGAGGCGCGAAAGCGUGGGGAGCAAACAGG